AUUAAAUUAACAUAUUCAAUGUUCUAAAGUUAGAAUUUAGUCAAGUAAAAAAAUUACAUUUAAUA
rnacentral:tRNA from 1 species